ACGUUCGUAAGUGGUCAGGGGAUACACAUACCCUAGCCAUUGGUAGUGCAGAGGAAAUGUGGGAAGAACUGUCCAGUGUUUGGAAGGUCCACACCCAUGCCUUCCAGUGCUGGGAUGUUUCCUACA